CUGAAACUAGAUCAAGGGGAAAAAAUCAUAGAAGCAAAGUGGAUAUUUUAUUGAGAUCUCAAGAUUUCCAUCCCCCAAAGAAAGAAAACCAUCACAAAUCUGCUCCCCAGAGAAACUGCAUAAACAGUCGGUCUUUGAAAUUUGCCCUCAAGGUUAUUCAUGCAAGUUCCUAAAACUUCUAAAGCAAGUCCAGAAGUUAAGGACCAAGCCCCUCUUCUUGAGAAGGAAGUCAACUUGCAUUUGUCACUGGGAGAAAAUGCACCAAGAAAUUAGCAUUAACAGCAGUGCUACGAACUCCAGGGAGAGAAAAGGAGGGAAAAUCAACAGAACUCAAUCCAUUGCAUUCACUUGGGUUUAUCUUCCUGAAAUAAGAUGCACUGCUGACUUUCAAGGCAGCGAUGUGAAGAACAGAUGAGCUUAAAGAACCUUGAGUGUAAGCAGAAUAUACAGUGUCUUGUACAUGCUGAAUCUGUAUAACUCCACCAGGCAGCUAGCAGGCCAUUAUAACUUUA